CUCAGAUUGUUCACUCAUAUUACAACACCAACUGAUAUUACAUCAACAAAACAUGAAGUUAAACACCUAAGCCAUUACAUGAACAAAACAUACAUUGCACAUUGCACACCUAAGAUCAAGCUAAACACAGCCACAAUGUCAUAAUGUUCAACACAAUAACAGCAAACACAACUUCAACUAAGAACUUUAUCCUUCUCUGCAACUCUUUGACAUUAUUUUCCAGAUCACAUACCUUGUUGCUUUAUCUCACAAUUGUACCAUCUCUAUCAUCAGCGUUGUCCUCAGAACACCACUUGAAAAAAUUACAUGACAUCCUAGUUGAAAAUUCACCCUAUUAUUCGCCAAGAACACAAAAAUGUUAAAACACAUAAAAUCCAAUACACAUAAAAGUCACUACGGUAUUCAAAACACCUUGUAAUGACGACAUCCCCAAAAUUUCCUCCCAGCAUUCCUUGAAAUUCUGGCAACUUUCAUUACAGCAAUAUCACCACAGUGGCAAAUAGGGGUUAUCCCAACUCCCCUCGAAACAGCACUGUGUGAGGAUUGUGAAAAUCCUUUGGACGUUGCCUUCGAAUAGGAAGAACAACUUUGUGAUGAAGUCAUCCCUAACCUUAACCCUUUGUUUUUAAAUUUCGGAACAACAGUAGCACGAAUCUCCAACAAUCCUAACCUUUACUUUUAGAUUUGAGAACAAAUGUAGCACGAAUCACCAACAACCCUAACUUUGCUUUUUAAUUUGGAAAAAACAACCAUGAAUCUCUUUGCUUUCAAGAUGAAUCAACAAUUCAAUUUAACACGUCAACCAAAACUGCACAACUCAUCCGCUUUUUGCCAGCUGGGCAGCUGUGUCCGUAGUCCUUUUUAAGAUGUUAGUGAACUUUUAAAAAAAAAAAAGGACAACUUUGAACAGAUCUACAAAAAGAGUACCAAAGAGCAAUUAAACCUAUUCAAUUAAAUUAAACUAAACCCUUUCUUUUGCCGGAACUGUUCUGGUAAUUCUCUUUCAAUUUAAUCAACACAGGCUACGCCCUUCCUUUCCCGCCACCGAGUUACCCAUCAGCGCCGCCGCCGCCUCCUGCAGGGUAUGAGCCGUUUGCGCCACCGCCUCCGCAGUACCAAGGUUACCAAAGCUAUUUGAAUCAACAGUACCCUCCGCCACCUCCUUCGCAUUACGAUUGCCACCACUUACAGUAUCAUGACGAUGGUACCCCCGGUUUUACUUCCUUCUUGGAAGGCUGCUUGACAGCGCUUUGUUGCUGUUGUUUGCUAGAAGAUUGCUUUUUCUGAUGAUCAUUUUAAAAGUUGCAUCUGCAGUUUGGUGUACUUGGCCGGUUAUAGCUUCUCUGGAUAAAUGUUGCUCUAAUGUCUUCAUGUGUGCGGGAUCUGGUAAGUGUUAGUCAUUGUUGUAACUCUUGGGUCUUUACCUUCUCCCUCACUCGUUUCUGGUUCUUCAUAGAUUUUCUGAUGUGAUCAUUGUGAAUGCUUAAUGUUGCUUAAUGUAUAUUGGAAACUGUAAAGAACAAUGUUUUUACCUGGAAUAACAAACUAAUAUAUUAUGGUU